CCGGCCUUCGCGAGCUUCCUUCUGGAUUCCAGCGCGAAGCCGCCGCGGAAACUCCCCGGGCGGGCAUCGGAGCUCUGGGGCGGGGCGGCCGGGCUCAGAGGGCGGGCGGGAGCAGGCGGGCGGCGAGGGCGGGCAGCAGCAGCGGGAGCAGGGGCGCCCCGGGCGCCGGGGCCGCUGGGGACGAACGCGGCGGGUCAGGCCCCGAAGCCCGGGCCGCGGUGGCCGCCUCAGGCGCCCGCUCUGGGGUGGGGGUGGGGGCAUCUUUCGGGACCGAACUCGCCGCAGCCUCCCUCUUUGUGCUCCUUUCCCCUGCUGCCCUUCCAGAUGCGCUCUUUCCAGAAAGGCAGCACACGCAUGUCUCUGCCGUGGCCCCAGAUCCUCCCCGCGCCGCCGUUUUGAGCGUUCACACUCAUUACCCAGGUCCGUCUGGGAGACCCGCCGGGCUCCCGCCCUCCCGGCCCGCAGCCUCCUGGCCAAAAUCCUCCCGGGACACCCCACCUGGACUGCUGCGAACGGGCCUCCACCCGCCUCCCCGGACCCGCAGCGCCCCCCGCUCCCUCAGGGUUCUGGGGUGAAGGGGUCUGAAUAGCACCAGGGGAGGCGGCAGGGCGGGCCUGUCCUACCUGCGCCCGAGCACUGCUGAGACGACAUCCCUUCCAGCGCCGCCACGUAGUCCAGCCCCAGCCAGCCGCGGUAGGUGGUUUUCUCUCCGACAGGCACCGCCCGGACGGUGGCAUCCUUGAAAAGCAGGUCUUGGCCAUGAUAGUUGGAGGAGUCGAACAUUUUGAACCCGUUCUUAUUGUGGUCGUCUCCAAACAGGUCCUGGAAGCACCGCAGGCAGACGACCUGCUCCUCACUGGGCUCAGGCAGGGUCACCCGCCCAGUGCCGCUAGCUGCAAAUUGCUUUACAUACAGUGACCCAAAGAGCAAGUCAUUUCAGGGCCCCACCACUCUGAUUGGAAGUCAUAAGCUUGACAACUGAUUGGCCUCUGUCACCCAAGCGGGUGUGGGGACACUAGGCCCGCAGGUGCCACUGGAAGAGGCGUUCAGAAGCACUGCGGUGCUCCAGCUCCUGGAUGCAGGUCUGAGGCCUGAGAUGUCCAGGAAGAAAGACCCAGAAAUGAGGGAUGGUGUGGGUGGGAUUCCUGAGCGUUCUGCUAGGCCUGCUGAGCACUUCUUGGCCUUUUCCAUAAGGCUUUCUCACUCUGUCUUACAGAUAUCUCCCCACAAACCUAAACAAUUUCGAGAGGGACUUGUGUUCUGCAACCAGUCACAGAAUAUCAGGUGAGCUGGGCGUGUCUUCACUGACCCACCCGCCCAGGGAUGCUGCACUCCUCUCCACCCUGCUCAGAAUCACUAGAAUGACCGUUCUGUGGCUACAGCCCUAAAAGAGCUACUAAAAAGACCAGAAGUAGUAUGAGAACUUAUGAAUACGAAUAUAAAUAAAGGACAUCUGGAGAA
rnacentral:lncRNA from 1 species